rnacentral:rRNA from 1 species
UAUGUGAUCGUCUCUCGCAUAUCAAUAAGCGGAGGAAAAGAAACUAACAAGGAUUCCCCUAGUAACGGCGAGUGAAGCGGGAAGAGCUCAAAUUUGAAAUCUUAAAGGGUUUCCCUUUACGAAUUGUAGUUUAAAGAAGUGUUUUCUGUUGAGGUUUUGGUAAAAGUUCUUUGGAAUAGGACAUCAUAGAGGGUGAGAAUCCCGUAUUUGACCCUUUACUUUCAACUUUGUGAUACACUUUCAAAGAGUCGGAUUGUUUGGGAAUGCAGUCCAAAAUGGGUGGUAAAUUUCAUCUAAAGCUAAAUAUUGGCGAGAGACCGAUAGCGAACAAGUACCGUGAGGGAAAGAUGAAAAGAACUUUGAAAAGAGAGUUAAACAGUACGUGAAAUUGUCAAAAGGGAAGCGUUUGACACCAGUGUUGUUUUUCUGAAAAUCAAUUAAAGAACUGUUUAUGCUAAGUUGUUUAGACUUUAUCAGCUAUCUGUUUAGUUUUGAGCUUUUCUUUAAUGCACUUUUCAGUUAACAAGUCAACAUCAAUUUCUUUUGCUGUAAAAAAGCUUGAGGAAGGUGGCUUGAGAUUCGUCUUAAGUGUUUAUAGCCUCUUGCCUAUGCAGUCGGAGAGAUUGAGGUCUGCAGCGUAGAUCCUUCGGGGCUAAAUGCAUUUGUGCUAAGUUAUAGCAUUUUAUAGACAACUUGUUGACUAUGAUUUGUCUUGUAGCUUACUCGCUUAUGUUAUUUUACCUACGCUUAGGAUGUUGACACACGCGCGUGCUCG